rnacentral:rRNA from 1 species
CCCUUUGAUAUUCUGGGCCGCACGCGCGCUACACUGACGAAUUCAACGAGUUUAUAACCUUAGCCGAGAGGCUCGGGUAAUCUUUUCAACGUUCGUCGUGAUGGGGAUAGAUUAUUGCAAUUAUUAAUCUUCAACGAGGAAUUCCUAGUAAACGCAAGUCAUCAGCUUGCAUUGAUUACGUCCCUGCCCUUUGUACACACCGCCCGUCGCACCUACCGAUUGAAUGGUCCGGUGAAAUCUUCGGACCGUGACUUUGUUUUGAUUCUGUCAAAACACUGACUCGGAAAGUUGAUUAAACCUUACCAUUUAGAGGAAGGUGAAGUCGUAACA